GACGAACGCUGGCGGCGUGCUUAACACAUGCAAGUCGAACGGAAAGGCCCUGCUUUUUUGGGUUGCUCGAGUGGCGAACGUGUGAGUAACACGUGAGUAACCUGCCCUUGACUUUGGGAUAACUUCAGGAAACUGGGGCUAAUACCGGAUAGGAGCUCCUGCUGCAUGGUGGGGGUUGGAAAGUUUCGGCGGUUGGGGAUGGACUCGCGGCUUAUCAGCUUGUUGGUGGGGUAGUGGCUUACCAAGGCUUUGACGGGUAGCCGGCCUGAGAGGGUGACCGGCCACAUUGGGACUGAGAUAAGGCCCAGACUCCUACGGGCGGCAGCAGUGGGGAAUAUUGCACAAUGGGCGGAAGCCUGAUGCAGCAACGCCGCGUGCGGGAUGACGGACUUCGGGUUGUAAACCGCUUUCGCCUGUGACGAAGCGUGAGUGACGGUAAUGGGUAAAGAAGCACCGGCUAACUACGUG
rnacentral:rRNA from 1 species